ACUUAAAUAGUUAAAGUUAUAGCGUCACAUUGAAGCUGUGGAGUUGGUAGUAUUGCCUUUAAGUG
rnacentral:tRNA from 1 species